GGUGUGACUGCGUACCUUUUGUAUAAUGGGUCAGCGACUUAUAUUCUGUAGCAAGGUUAACCGUAUAGGGGAGCCGCAGGGAAACCGAGUCUUAACUGGGCGUUAAGUUGCAGGGUAUAGACCCGAAACCCGGUGAUCUAGCCAUGGGCAGGUUGAAGGUUGGGUAACACUAACUGGAGGACCGAACCGACUAAUGUUGAAAAAUUAGCGGAUGACUUGUGGCUGGGGGUGAAAGGCCAAUCAAACCGGGAGAUAGCUGGUUCUCCCCGAAAGCUAUUUAGGUAGCGCCUCGUGAACUCAUCUUCGGGGGUAGAGCACUGUUUCGGCUAGGGGGUCAUCCCGACUUACCAACCCGAUGCAAACUACGAAUACCGAAGAAUGUUAUCACGGGAGACACACGGCGGGUGCUAACGUCCGUCGUGAAGAGGGAAACAACCCAGACCGCCAGCUAAGGUCCCAAAGUCAUGGUUAAGUGGGAAACGAUGUGGGAAGGCACAGACAGCCAGGAUGUUGGCUUAGAAGCAGCCAUCAUUUAAAGAAAGCGUAAUAGCUCACUGGUCGAGUCGGCCUGCGCGGAAGAUGUAACGGGGCUAAACCAUGCACCGAAGCUGCGGCAGCGACACUAUGUGUUGUUGGGUAGGGGAGCGUUCUGUAAGCCUGCGAAGGUGGCCUGUGAGGGUUGCUGGAGGUAUCAGAAGUGCGAAUGCUGACAUAAGUAACGAUAAAGCGGGUGAAAAGCCCGCUCGCCGGAAGACCAAGGGUUCCUGUCCAACGUUAAUCGGGGCAGGGUGAGUCGACCCCUAAGGCGAGGCCGAAAGGCGUAGUCGAUGGGAAACAGGUUAAUAUUCCUGUACUUGGUGUUACUGCGAAGGGGGGACGGAGAAGGCUAUGUUAGCCGGGCGACGGUUGUCCCGGUUUAAGCAUGUAGGCUGGUUAUCCAGGCAAAUCCGGAUAAUCAAGGCUGAGGUGUGAUGACGAGGCACUACGGUGCUGAAGUAACAAAUGCCCUGCUUCCAGGAAAGGCACGCUGGUGUGUAGGUGAAGUCCCUGCGGAUGGAGCUGAGACCAGUCGAAGAUACCAGCUGGCUGCAACUGUUUAUUAAAAACACAGCACUGUGCAAACACGAAAGUGGACGUAUACGGUGUGACGCCUGCCCGGUGCCGGAAGGUUAAUUGAUGGGGUUAUCCGUAAGGAGAAGCUCUUGAUCGAAGCCCCGGUAAACGGCGGCCGUAACUAUAACGGUCCUAAGGUAGCGAAAUUCCUUGUCGGGUAAGUUCCGACCUGCACGAAUGGCGUAAUGAUGGCCAGGCUGUCUCCACCCGAGACUCAGUGAAAUUGAACUCGCUGUGAAGAUGCAGUGUACCCGCGGCAAGACGGAAAGACCCCGUGAACCUUUACUAUAGCUUGACACUGAACAUUGAGCCUUGAUGUGUAGGAUAGGUGGGAGGCUUUGAAGCGUGGACGCCAGUCUGCGUGGAGCCAACCUUGAAAUACCACCCUUUAAUGUUUGAUGUUCUAACGUUGGCCCCUUAUCGGGGUUGCGGACAGUGUCUGGUGGGUAGUUUGACUGGGGCGGUCUCCUCCCAAAGCGUAACGGAGGAGCACGAAGGUUAGCUAAUCCUGGUCGGACAUCAGGAGGUUAGUGCAAUGGCAUAAGCUAGCUUGACUGCGAGCGUGACGGCGCGAGCAGGUGCGAAAGCAGGUCAUAGUGAUCCGGUGGUUCUGAAUGGAAGGGCCAUCGCUCAACGGAUAAAAGGUACUCCGGGGAUAACAGGCUGAUACCGCCCAAGAGUUCAUAUCGACGGCGGUGUUUGGCACCUCGAUGUCGGCUCAUCACAUCCUGGGGCUGAAGUAGGUCCCAAGGGUAUGGCUGUUCGCCAUUUAAAGUGGUACGCGAGCUGGGUUUAGAACGUCGUGAGACAGUUCGGUCCCUAUCUGCCGUGGGCGCUGGAGAAUUGAGGGGGGCUGCUCCUAGUACGAGAGGACCGGAGUGGACGCAUCACUGGUGUUCGGGUUGUCAUGCCAAUGGCACUGCCCGGUAGCUAAAUGCGGAAGAGAUAAGUGCUGAAAGCAUCUAAGCACGAAACUUGCCCCGAGAUGAGUUCUCCCUGAGACUGGUAAGGGUGAGGUCCCCAGUUCGACUCU
rnacentral:rRNA from 1 species